ensembl:lncRNA CCDST cervical cancer associated DHX9 suppressive transcript
GGGAGCUUAAGGGCGCCGGCACGCGUUCCCCUGGCGCAGAGCUCGCUAGCCGGGGCGCGGGCUGCCUCCUUGUUCUGGUGUGAUCCGAAUGUAACGGAGCGGACUUUGGGAUCCAGAACCCCGGACUGAGGUUGUGCUUGGCUUGAGGGGCGGGCUGGUAGGUCAGCCCCCUUGGGGCGUCGUUGGUCCUCUCCAGGCGUGUCACAUUCUGCCCGCACAUGGUGCCUUGGUACUCCCCAAAAGUCAUGCCUUGAUUUUUCUUACUAAUAAUAGUUUACACUGUUUUACCGCUUCACUGCUUCACGAUUUUUCCUCUUAGGAUUUAUUUCCCUGGAGACCUCAUGAAGAAUGAUGUGGGUUCUAUAGGGUACAGUGUGAUCUGGGUCCUGCCUAAUCUCCUUUCUAAACUUCAGAAAAUCAUGGAUAUCCAGACAACUUGGAGCCAAGUCCCCACAGCUGGAUCAGACAACUUUUGGUGACAUCUCACAGUGUGGAUUAUCAAGCCAGUGUAUCAGUCUGGAGCCUAGGUUUUUUGCCUUUAGCUUUGCUCAGGAUGACUUCUGCUCUUCUAUGGCAAUACUUGAGAAGCUACAGCUUUGAUUAGACGAGAGGCUAUUUCAAUAACUUUCUCCUGAUAAGAAGACCACCGACCGUGGACGGAUUCUGGCCAGUUUACAAAGGCUGCAUACCAUAGGGCAGGGCACCCCACUAUGGCAAACACUAAUAAUGAUAUUGCUCCUGAUUUUGUUUCUGAAGGGAAUGCCUCUAAGAUUUCUUCAUUAAUUAUAAGAGACUGGGUCUCACUCUGUUGCCCAAGCUGGAGAACAGUGGCACCAUCAUAGCUCACUGCAGCCUUCAACUUCUGGGCUCAAGUGCUUCUCCCACCUCAGCCUCCCAAGUAGCUGGGACAACAGGUGAAAUUGAAGGCCAGCUUUUGGAACUCAACCUUCAAAGGAACUUAAAAUUUCCAUUAUGUAGAGUCCCUGAGGAAACUGGAUCCACUAGCUACACUGGCUGAGAAUGCUCUCACCCCAGGAUUUCAUUUUUAUUUUACCACAUCAUUGUUGGUAUCUUAAGAUCAAUGUACUGGAGCAGCGGGGUCUCACAAAGAGGAUACCUGGUGACACGCCCAGGCUUUCAGAAUGCACUAUAGGGCUUUAGUGACUUGUCCAGGUUCAGCUGAAAUGUGCCAUCUGGGACCUACUAAUGCUUGUUGAACUUUACUGGAUCUCAGAAGCUGGGUCUCAGAAGCUCAGAUGUUCCUCAGAGCUACGAUAUCAACAACCUGUGAUGACAGAGAGAAGGUUGCUCCAUGAUGGAUUUGGAAACUUACUGGCUAGCUAAACCUGACUGAAUGGGAAGGAAUGUGGAUAGCUUUGGAACUCUAGUUUCACUAGAUGAGCUGGAAUUUGUAUUUUGACAAAUUGCACGUUAUGAUUAUUAAGUAAUGCAACUGAUUUUUUUUUCCCUUAAAACAAACAAUCUAGAAUCUGUGUAAUCAAAAUAAUUUCUCUAAAAGGCUGCAAGUAUAUGCUUAAAGUGUUGGGGCAUUCAGAGCAUUUGGAACAUUACAUUCUUUUGAAUGUCAAUUGGUAGAUGAAAAUACCAGCUUUUAAGUCAUACAUUUGAUUUUUUGAAACAAUAUGCAUUUAGAGUUUGUAAGUCAAGUGAAUAACUGAUAAGGUAAAAAAAAGGGGGAGUUCAUUGUUGAGUAUGAAUUUAAAGUAACCAGACUGCCUUUUGUCCAGUGGCUGUCAGUAAUUUACUUCAGCAGGCAUUUUUUUUUUUUUGAGGCUGUUCUAUGAUAUCAUGACCCUUCUUGUAGGAAUGUGCUUCCAGUGGUGAGGCAGUCUGAGAAUGUGUGAAGCAGUAUAAUGAAGCCAGACCAAGAUGGAAGCUUGGCCUGGGAUUUGAGCAUCAGGAAAACUGUUGAAGGGUUAUGUAUACAUCACACACACACACACACACACACACACACACACACACACACACACACUCUCUUCCAUACUCCUAUAACAACGUAUAGUAUUUACUAUACCUGGUGACAGGUAUUUACUAUACAUUGUUGAAGAUCUAUAACAUGGAAUGCCUAGUGCUAAGUGCAGUGUCCUUAGUGAAAUUGUAUUGGUUUGGAAUUAUUUAUGAGUUUGGGAUUAUUUGUCACUACCCUUAAAUGAUCUUGACACUCACCUAUUUGAAAAGAUAUUGAGGAUUUGCCAUUUGAUAUUGACCAGGGUGUAUUGUGCACAAAUAUUGUGAAUAUACAUCUGUCUGUCCUUAAAUCACUGUAAGUUUUAACUGGAAUAGAUUUGCUCCACAUUACUCGGUAGGGCUGAUAUUUCAUGCCUCAUGGAUGAGAAAAGAAUAGGCAAAAAUUAUAUCUCGGGCUGCCUCACACAUCUUUUAACAGGAUAAGGGAAAAAUAAAUAUAAGACCUAUGAGUUAUGGCAUCAGGCUUGAACUUUAAUUUAUGAAUUAAACCAACAAUAUUAUUGAUUAUUGCAAUUAUCUAUCUUAAUUUCAUUUGUUCUCCUUUUAAAAAUUAAUUAUGUUUAUUUUACCUAUUGUGAAUAAAGUCAC